rnacentral:rRNA from 1 species
UACGUAGGGUGCAAGCGUUAAUCGGAAUUACUGGGCGUAAAGCGUGCUCAGGCGGUUCCAUAAGACAGAUGUGAAAUCCCCGGGCUCAACCUGGGAACUGCAUUUGUGACUGUGGGGCUAGAGUACGGUAGAGGGGGAUGGAAUUCCGCGUGUAGCAGUGAAAUGCGUAGAUAUGCGGAGGAACACCAAUGGCGAAGGCAAUCCCCGGGACCUGUAUUGACGUUCAUGCACGAAAGCGUGGGGAGCAAACAGG